UUAUAGAAAGUCACGCCGACUUCUCCACUCAUGCUUGCAUGCAUAAAUAUUUCUGUCGUUGCCUAACCCUCGUCCAGUAAAGGCAUACUUUUCCUAUCUCCAAAACUUUAAAAUUUCACAUCGAGAUAAUAUUUUAACCAUAUUUCAAUUAGUGCGACUAGUAAUGGAAGAUUGAUAAUUGGUACUAACAUGCAGCCUUUUAAGACUGGUUCUCCAUCAACUUUCACCGUUGAAAAUUUAGCCUCAAAAUCCCGUACAUCUUCAUCUCUACGCAUUUAUCUAGCUAUCGUCUUAUUUUCGAUAAACGUCGCCGUGGAAAAAAUUUAUUUAAAUGACAUCGACCCCAAUGGAUUAAAGUAAUCGACUACCAGUUGUCACCCUACCGUAAUGAUCCGUUACCUGUACAAGACAAGGAGCAAGAAUUCCAUGUCACCUGAUUAGGUCAACUACCCGACGAUGCAACCAUAUUUCCAGGUCAUGAAUUUUACUAGAGACAUAUUCUUCAAGCCAAAUGUUUAUUUUUAGAUCUAGUUACUUUAGAAUAUGCAUGUCAAAAUGUACUAAUUCACUAAAUCUUAUCCUUAGUUACACUUGCUCCAUUUAAAUUAAUUUGACUAAAGAG